GCUGGGCGUGGUGGUGUACGCCUGUAAUCCCAGCAGCUCAGGAGGCCAAGGCAGGAGAAUUGAGAGUUCAAAGUCAGCCUCAGAAACAUCGAGGUGCUAAGCAAUUCAGUGAGACCCUGUCUGUA
rnacentral:sRNA from 1 species